GGGGAUGUGGUCUAGUGGUAUGACGUUUCUUUCGCAUAGAAAAGGUUCGGGGUUCGAUUCCCUGCUUCUCCA